rnacentral:lncRNA from 1 species
UGUAAUGUCCGGGCCCAGAACCUACUAGGCCCAAUAAGAAAUGGGCCCAGUUAAGGGUUGGGCCCAAAUUUCACUGUGGGCAGUGCUGUUAUCAUAUUUAAAAAAAAAAAAGAAUAAAAACGAAGGGAUAAGACCGACAGGGAGGGGUGACCCUCACCCCUGCUGACAGCCGCUGCCGGCGCGCCGGAGACAAGGGGAGGCGGCGGCCAGUCCCGGAGCAGGAGGGAAUGGAGAGGAUGGGACCUCUUUGAGGGGGGUCUCAUGUCACGACCCCCGCCCCGUUCCCGGCGGGCCGCCGCGACGGUCCUAGGGUGCGGGUAGGCAUAAGGCCACCAGCCACCGCGUAGAACCCUACUACCUAUCAAUCAUCAAUAAAUCUUGAAAAUUUUGGCAUGAUACAUGCACAAAAUGAUCACCUUUCCUAUGGUGACCUGUCAGGAUUAUCUCAAUACAUAUAACACACUACCUGUCAGAGCAGUAAUCACAUAAUCUGUCACAUAAUAAACCUGGACAAUAUAUAGCAAUACAUUAUCACAGGCACACAACUGAUCUGCACACAC